GGGUUGUGAGGUUAAGCGACUAAGCGUACACGGUGGAUGCCCUGGCAGUCAGAGGCGAUGAAGGACGUGCUAAUCUGCGAUAAGCGCCGGUAAGGUGAUAUGAACCGUUAUAACCGGCGAUUUCCGAAUGGGGAAACCCAGUGUGACUCGUCACACUAUCAUUAACUGAAUCCAUAGGUUAAUGAGGCGAACCGGGGGAACUGAAACAUCUAAGUACCCCGAGGAAAAGAAAUCAACCGAGAUUCCCCCAGUAGCGGCGAGCGAACGGGGAGGAGCCCAGAGCCUGAAUCAGCAUGUGUGUUAGUGGAAGCGUCUGGAAAGGCGCGCGAUACAGGGUGACAGCCCCGUACACAAAAGCGCAUGUGCUGUGAGCUCGAUGAGUAGGGCGGGACACGUGGUAUCCUGUCUGAAUAUGGGGGGACCAUCCUCCAAGGCUAAAUACUCCUGACUGACCGAUAGUGAACCAGUACCGUGAGGGAAAGGCGAAAAGAACCCCGGCGAGGGGAGUGAAAAAGAACCUGAAACCGUGUACGUACAAGCAGUGGGAGCACAGGUUUACCUGUGUGACUGCGUACCUUUUGUAUAAUGGGUCAGCGACUUAUAUUCUGUAGCAAGGUUAACCGUAUAGGGGAGCCGGAGGGAAACCGAGUCUUAACCGGGCGUUAAGUUGCAGGGUAUAGACCCGAAACCCGGUGAUCUAGCCAUGGGCAGGUUGAAGGUUGGGUAACACUAACUGGAGGACCGAACCGACUAAUGUUGAAAAAUUAGCGGAUGACCUGUGGCUGGGGGUGAAAGGCCAAUCAAACCGGGAGAUAGCUGGUUCUCCCCGAAAGCUAUUUAGGUAGCGCCUCGUGAAUUCAUCUCCGGGGGUAGAGCACUGUUUCGGCUAGGGGGCCAUCCCGGCUUACCAACCCGAUGCAAACUGCGAAUACCGGAGAAUGUUAUCACGGGAGACACACGGCGGGUGCUAACGUCCGUCGUGAAGAGGGAAACAACCCAGACCGCCAGCUAAGGUCCCAAAGUCAUGGUUAAGUGGGAAACGAUGUGGGAAGGCCCAGACAGCCAGGAUGUUGGCUUAGAAGCAGCCAUCAUUUAAAGAAAGCGUAAUAGCUCACUGGUCGAGUCGGCCUGCGCGGAAGAUGUAACGGGGCUAAACCAUGCACCGAAGCUGCGGCAGCGAACGUAUCACCCAAGACAACUUUACGGAGUUGACGAUUGACGGAGCGAAGCGACGUCAAAGCGUUCAUUAAAGUCGAGUUGGCUUAGGGAUACGUUCGUUGGGUAGGGGAGCGUUCUGUAAGCCUGUGAAGGUGUGUCGUGAGGCAUGCUGGAGGUAUCAGAAGUGCGAAUGCUGACAUAAGUAACGAUAAAGCGGGUGAAAAGCCCGCUCGCCGGAAGACCAAGGGUUCCUGUCCAACGUUAAUCGGGGCAGGGUGAGUCGACCCCUAAGGCGAGGCCGAAAGGCGUAGUCGAUGGGAAACGGGUUAAUAUUCCCGUACUUGGUGUUACUGCGAAGGGGGGACGGAGAAGGCUAUGUUGGCCGGGCGACGGUUGUCCCGGUUUAAGCGUGUAGGUGUGUGUUCCAGGUAAAUCCGGUUCACUUUAACACUGAGGCGUGACGACGAGGCACUACGGUGCUGAAGCAACAAAUGCCCUGCUUCCAGGAAAAGCCUCUAAGCAUCAGGUAACAUCAAAUCGUACCCCAAACCGACACAGGUGGUCAGGUAGAGAAUACCAAGGCGCUUGAGAGAACUCGGGUGAAGGAACUAGGCAAAAUGGUGCCGUAACUUCGGGAGAAGGCACGCUGAUAUGUAGGUGAAGCGGUUUACCCGUGGAGCUGAAAUCAGUCGAAGAUACCAGCUGGCUGCAACUGUUUAUUAAAAACACAGCACUGUGCAAACACGAAAGUGGACGUAUACGGUGUGACGCCUGCCCGGUGCCGGAAGGUUAAUUGAUGGGGUCAGCGCAAGCGAAGCUCCUGAUCGAAGCCCCGGUAAACGGCGGCCGUAACUAUAACGGUCCUAAGGUAGCGAAAUUCCUUGUCGGGUAAGUUCCGACCUGCACGAAUGGCGUAAUGAUGGCCAGGCUGUCUCCACCCGAGACUCAGUGAAAUUGAACUCGCUGUGAAGAUGCAGUGUACCCGCGGCAAGACGGAAAGACCCCGUGAACCUUUACUAUAGCUUGACACUGAACAUUGAGCCUUGAUGUGUAGGAUAGGUGGGAGGCUUUGAAGUGUGGACGCCAGUCUGCAUGGAGCCGACCUUGAAAUACCACCCUUUAAUGUUUGAUGUUCUAACGUGGACCCGUAAUCCGGGUUGCGGACAGUGUCUGGUGGGUAGUUUGACUGGGGCGGUCUCCUCCUAAAGAGUAACGGAGGAGCACGAAGGUUGGCUAAUCCUGGUCGGACAUCAGGAGGUUAGUGCAAUGGCAUAAGCCAGCUUGACUGCGAGCGUGACGGCGCGAGCAGGUGCGAAAGCAGGUCAUAGUGAUCCGGUGGUUCUGAAUGGAAGGGCCAUCGCUCAACGGAUAAAAGGUACUCCGGGGAUAACAGGCUGAUACCGCCCAAGAGUUCAUAUCGACGGCGGUGUUUGGCACCUCGAUGUCGGCUCAUCACAUCCUGGGGCUGAAGUAGGUCCCAAGGGUAUGGCUGUUCGCCAUUUAAAGUGGUACGCGAGCUGGGUUUAGAACGUCGUGAGACAGUUCGGUCCCUAUCUGCCGUGGGCGCUGGAGAACUGAGGGGGGCUGCUCCUAGUACGAGAGGACCGGAGUGGACGCAUCACUGGUGUUCGGGUUGUCAUGCCAAUGGCACUGCCCGGUAGCUAAAUGCGGAAGAGAUAAGUGCUGAAAGCAUCUAAGCACGAAACUUGCCCCGAGAUGAGUUCUCCCUGAGACUUUAGGUCUCCUGAAGGAACGUUGAAGACGACGACGUUGAUAGGCCGGGUGUGUAAGCGCAGCGAUGCGUUGAGCUAACCGGUACUAAUGAACCGUGAGGCUUAACCUUACAACGCCGAAG
rnacentral:rRNA from 1 species